rnacentral:ncRNA from 2 species
AAAUAAAAGUAUAAGUAAUUCCGUAUAAUAUCAGGGAUAGGGCCUGAAAGUUUCUACCGAUUAGCCGUAAACUAGUCGACUACGGGAUGUUGAUGUUAGUUU